ACCAGGCGGGUGGUGGUCUUGUGCAGGAAAUCCUGUCUGGCGUGGCGGACCUUGCGGUACGCGGCCGCGACCCUGCGCUUGGCCUUGCGGCGGUUGUUCGAGCCUUUCACCUUGCGUGCCAUGCGUCGUUGGUAACGCUUGAGGUUGCGGGCUUUGCGCUCCAGGUGGCGGGGGUUGGCGAUCUUCUCGCCCGUGGACAGGGUCGCGAAGUCCUUCACUCCCAGGUCCACACCCACCUCAGAACCGGUGUCCGGUACGGGGUCGGGGUCGUCGGUGUCCACGGAGAAGGUCGCAUACCAGCGCCCGUCCGCCUCACGCGAGAUGACCACCGUGGUCGGGUCCAGGGCGGCCAGGUCUGUCUCGGGCCAGGACCAGGCCACCUUCAGCGGCCUCUGGUGUUUGGCCAGGAACAGCGCACCGUCGCGGAGGCGAAACGCGCUGCGGGUGUAGUGCGCCGACUGCCGACCGGACCGGUUCUUGAACCGGGGGUAGCGGGCGCGUUGGGCGAAGAAGUUCGCGAACGCGCUGUGUUGGUGGCGCAGGGUCUGCUGCAAGGGAACCGAGGACACCUCGGACAAGAACGCCAGCUCAGGGG
rnacentral:antisense_RNA from 1 species